AAUGAACGCUGGCGGCGCGCCUAAUACAUGCAAGUCGAGCGAGAAGACGUAGCAAUACGUUUGUAAAGCGGCGAACGGGUGAGGAAUACAUGGGUAACCUACCCUAGAGUGGGGAAUAACUAGCCGAAAGGUUAGCUAAUACCGCGUACGCUCCUUGGACUUCGGUUCAGGGAGGAAAGCGAUGCCGAGGGUAUCGCGCUCUUGGAUGGGCUCAUGUCCUAUCAGCUUGNGGUGAGGUAACGGCUCACCAAGGCUUCGACGGGUAGCUGGUCUGAGAGGACGAUCAGCCACACUGGCACUGCGACACGGGCCAGACUCCUACGGGAGGCAGCAGUAAGGAAUAUUGCGCAAUGGGCGAAGGCCUGACGCAGCGACGCCGCGGUGGGGGAU
rnacentral:rRNA from 1 species